UACAGAGGUCUCAAGCGUUGUUCGGAUUCAUUGGGCGUAAAGGGUGCGUAGGUGGCGCCGUAAGUCAGGUGUGAAAUUUCGGAGCUUAACUCCGAAACUGCAUUUGAUACUGCGGUGCUUGAGGACUGGAGAGGAGACUGGAAUUCACGGUGUAGCAGUGAAAUGCGUAGAGAUCGUGAGGAAGACCAGUGGCGAAGGCGGGUCUCUGGACGGUUUCUGACGCUAAGACGCGAAAGCGUGGGGAGCAAACAGG
rnacentral:rRNA from 1 species